rnacentral:rRNA from 1 species
AACGAACGCUGGCGGCAUGCCUAACACAUGCAAGUCGAACGAGACCUUCGGGUCUAGUGGCGCACGGGUGCGUAACGCGUGGGAACCUGCCCUUAGGUUCGGAAUAACUCCCCGAAAGGGGUGCUAAUACCGGAUAAUGUCUUCGGACCAAAGAUUUAUCGCCUUUGGAUGGGCCCGCGUUGGAUUAGCUAGUUGGUAGGGUAAAAGCCUACCAAGGCGACGAUCCAUAGCUGGUCUGAGAGGAUGAUCAGCCACACUGGGACUGAGACACGGCCCAGACUCCUACGGGGGGAAGAGGUGGGAAAUAUUGAAAAAGGGGCGAAGGCCUGAUCCAGCAUUCCCGCGGGAGUGAUGAGGCCUUUGGGGUUGAAAAGCUUUUUUCCCGGGGAUGAUAAGGACAUCCCGGGGAAAAAAGCCCCCGGCAACCCCCGUC